rnacentral:rRNA from 1 species
AUUGAACGCUGGCGGCAGGCUUAACACAUGCAAGUCGAGCGGAGAUGAGGUGCUUGCACCUUAUCUUAGCGGCGGACGGGUGAGUAAUGCUUAGGAAUCUGCCUAUUAGUGGGGGACAACAUUCCGAAAGGAAUGCUAAUACCGCAUACGCCCUACGGGGGAAAGCAGGGGAUCUUCGGACCUUGCGCUAAUAGAUGAGCCUACGUCGGAUUAGCUAGUUGGUGGGGUAAAGGCCUACCAAGGCGACGAUCUGUAGCGGGUCUGAGAGGAUGAUCGGCCACACUGGGACUCAGACACGGCCCAGACUCCUACGGGAGGCAGCAGUGGGGAAUAUUGGACAAUGGGCGGAAGCCUGAUCCAGCCAUGCCGCGUGUGUGAAAAAGGCCUUUUGGUUGUAAAGCACUUUAAGCGAGGAGGAGGCUACCUGGAUUAAUACUCUAGGAUAGUGGACGUUACUCGCAGAAUAAGCACCGGCUAACUCUGUGCCAGCCGCCGCCGUAACAC